GCCGGGCAUGGUGGUGCAUGCCUGUAAUCCCAGCUCCUCAGGAGGCUGAGGUAGGAGAAUCGCUUGAAUCCAGGAGGCAGAAGUUGCAGUGAGCUGAGAUUGUGCCACUGUACUCCAGCCUGGGUGACAGAGUGAGACUCUGUCUCAA
rnacentral:SRP_RNA from 1 species